rnacentral:rRNA from 1 species
UUAACUGAAUCCAUAGGUUAAUGAGGCGAACCGGGGGAACUGAAACAUCUAAGUACCCCGAGGAAAAGAAAUCAACCGAGAUUCCCCCAGUAGCGGCGAGCGAACGGGGAGGAGCCCAGAGCCUGAAUCAGUGUGUGUGUUAGUGGAAGCGUCUGGAAAGGCGCGCGAUACAGGGUGACAGCCCCGUACACAAAAAUGCACAUGCUGUGAGCUCGAUGAGUAGGGCGGGACACGUGGUAUCCUGUCUGAAUAUGGGGGGACCAUCCUCCAAGGCUAAAUACUCCUGACUGACCGAUAGUGAACCAGUACCGUGAGGGAAAGGCGAAAAGAACCCCGGCGAGGGGAGUGAAAAAGAACCUGAAACCGUGUACGUACAAGCAGUGGGAGCACGCUUAGGCGUGUGACUGCGUACCUUUUGUAUAAUGGGUCAGCGACUUAUAUUCUGUAGCAAGGUUAACCGAAUAGGGGAGCCGAAGGGAAACCGAGUCUUAACUGGGCGUUAAGUUGCAGGGUAUAGACCCGAAACCCGGUGAUCUAGCCAUGGGCAGGUUGAAGGUUGGGUAACACUAACUGGAGGACCGAACCGACUAAUGUUGAAAAAUUAGCGGAUGACUUGUGGCUGGGGGUGAAAGGCCAAUCAAACCGGGAGAUAGCUGGUUCUCCCCGAAAGCUAUUUAGGUAGCGCCUCGUGAAUUCAUCUCCGGGGGUAGAGCACUGUUUCGGCAAGGGGGUCAUCCCGACUUACCAACCCGAUGCAAACUGCGAAUACCGGAGAAUGUUAUCACGGGAGACACACGGCGGGUGCUAACGUCCGUCGUGAAGAGGGAAACAACCCAGACCGCCAGCUAAGGUCCCAAAGUCAUGGUUAAGUGGGAAACGAUGUGGGAAGGCCCAGACAGCCAGGAUGUUGGCUUAGAAGCAGCCAUCAUUUAAAGAAAGCGUAAUAGCUCACUGGUCGAGUCGGCCUGCGCGGAAGAUGUAACGGGGCUAAACCAUGCAC